rnacentral:rRNA from 1 species
UACGUAGGGUGCAAGCGUUACUCGGAAUUACUGGGCGUAAAGCGUGCGCAGGCGGUUAUGCAAGACAGAUGUGAAAUCCCCGGGCUCAACUUGGGAACUGCAUUUGUGACUGCAUCGCUGGAGUGCGGCAGAGGGGGAUGGAAUUCCGCGUGUAGCAGUGAAAUGCGUAGAUAUGCGGAGGAACACCGAUGGCGAAGGCAAUCCCCUGGGCCUGCACUGACGCUCAUGCACGAAAGCGUGGGGAGCAAACAGG